AUUGAAUGCUGGCGGCAGGCUUAACACAUGCAAGUCGAGCGGAGAUGAGGUGCUUGCACCUUAUCUUAGCGGCGGACGGGUGAGUAAUGCUUAGGAAUCUGCCUAUUAGUGGGGGACAACAUUCCGAAAGGAAUGCUAAUACCGCAUACGCCCUACGGGGGAAAGCAGGGGAUCUUCGUACCUUGCGCUAUUAGAUGAGCCUAAGUCGGAUUAGCUAGUUGGUGGGGUAAAGGCCUACCAAGGCGACGAUCUGUAGCGGGUCUGAGAGGAUGAUCCGCCACACUGGGACUGAGACACGGCCCAGACUCCUACGGGAGGCAGCAGUGGGGAAUAUUGGACAAUGGGCGGAAGCCUGAUCCAGCCAUGCCGCGUGUGUGAAGAAGGCCUUUUGGUUGUAAAGCACUUUAAGCGAGGAGGAGGCUACUUGGAUUAAUACUCUAGGAUAGUGGACGUUACUCGCAGAAUAAGCACCGGCUAACUCUGUGCCAGCCGCCGCUGUAACAC
rnacentral:rRNA from 1 species